rnacentral:lncRNA from 1 species
UGAUCAGUACUAGUAAAUAAGAUAGAAUGGAAGAAAGAACCCCGUUCACUAUCUAAAAAUAAACAAAUCGAUCCCUCUAUUGUGUAUGAAGUUUAUGGUUUCCAUGGGUACAAAUCCAAUCACCUGAAUUUAAGAUGAGAAGCAAUUCUCCAUUGGUAAUAAAUGGUUAUCUAUUAAGCGGAGGAAAUCUUAUUUCAAUUUCAAAAACAUAAAAAUGAAGCUCCCAUUCUUUCAACAACGGACUAAGAGGGUUAGCUACCCGGCUAACUUUCUUAAUUAAAUACCGUUACUAUAUAUGUGGAUCUCAUUGUGAAAGAUCUAUUACUGGAUAAAUCAUUGGUAGAGUCAAAGAGUGUGGUAUGAACUAUACAAGUUACCAAUAACAUUGAUUAAAUGAAGUAAAGACUCCGAUGUAUAGAGAAGACCUCAUCGUUUAAGAAGUAACUAUAGAAGCGACAAAACCCACUAUUCUUUAUCCAUUUAAUUUAUAUUUCUUUUUACUAUAUUUUCACACUUAGAAGAAUAAAAUUUCUUAUUUCUUUCGUAUUUCGCAGUGAAAUACCUAAAAAAAAAUGAAAAAAUCAUGGUCGGGAAGGUUAUAGCAGCCCAAGCCAUUGGAUUUUUUUUUUAUACAUUGACAAAAUCCGUUUUGUAUAUAUAUAUAUAUAUAUAAGAACGCUGAUAAAAUUGUCGAGUUAAAGGGGUGAUGUUAAAAUGUAG